AAUGAGAGUACAUGUAGUUUGUAACAGUCCUCUCGUAUGCUCCUACACCUGAUCAGAUCAUCCAUCUUUAAUAAAACCACAAGUACACCUCUGGCUGUUCAAUGGCAUCACGAAUUGAGCGUCUCGCCCGGCCUAAUCCCAACCUACUUAAAUUCCCUGACAGGCGCUCCGUAUACUGGUUGGAUGAGCUUCCAGCAAAAUCAAAGCGGUCCACUACUGUCUUUGAGCUCACAUCACGUUGGUCCCAGCCGUCAGAGAGGAAAAAGAUUAGUACUCACUAUGAAGACAACAGAGAGUCUCCUGAGUGGAAGGUGGGCGCAGCCACAUUAAAGGCUCGUCCCUCUGAAAGAGUGUGUUCACUCGCUCGACCCCGUCAGCCUGCAGUCGGCUGGCAGCCUGAUCGCCCCCUAUUGACCACAUAUGGUAUGGGAGUGAGAACUAUAGCUAAAGCCAGUCCUCGGAUCUGCCAGUUGGCUCAACCAAAAAAGUCAAGAAUGCCAUUGACUCCAGCAUUCAACAGCACUAAUAGCUGUUUGACACUUCUCCCACAAGCCAAGCCUUCUUCUCAUAUACACCUCCUGGCCAUUCCUAAAAAGGAGCAUCCUCAUUAUCGUCCAAACCAACCUGUGUCAUCGCACGUGCCAAGGUCCGUCCUGGAAGCUGUAGCCAGUGAGAGGCUGCAGGUGCUGGCCAUACCAAAGCCCCGCAAUCCUCUUUAUGAGGGAUUCGAUCCCUAUAAAGUGAGCUUGGCUGCUCGUGUUGCUACUGCAUCCCCAAGAAUACAGGAACUGUCACAACCCCCGGCACGCAGGUGCAGGAAAACAUCAGCCCAAGAUGAAUAAAGCAUAAACAUGUGUGAAAUAUCUAUGCAAUAAAUGUAUUAGCCGACAUUAGUUCUCUCUGUCAUGUUAAUCAAUGUCAAAGCAGUUAUUAUUAAAAGAAC
ensembl:lncRNA